rnacentral:rRNA from 1 species
GAUNNGGCUGUCGUCAGCUCGUGUCGUGAGAUGUUGGGUUAAGUCCGCAACGANNAACCCCNAGCUUUUAGUUGCUACCAUUUAGUUGGGCACUCUAAAAGAACUGCCAGUGAUAAGCUGGAGGAAGGCGGGGAUGACGUCAAGUCCUCAUGGCCCUUACGUGUUGGGCUACACGCGUGCUACAAUGGUACUCACAGUGAGAAGCGAAGAGGCGACUCUAAGCCAAUCCCNNAAAAAGUACCUCAGUUCGGAUUGUACUCUGCAACUCGAGUACAUGAAGCUGGAAUUACUAGUAAUCGCGGAUCAGCGCCGC